GGGGCUGUAGCUCAGUGGUAGAGCACUUGCCUAGCAUGCAACACAGCCCUG
rnacentral:tRNA from 1 species